UAGAGCUUGAUCAUGGCUCAGAUUGAACGCUGGCGGCAGGCCUAACACAUGCAAGUCGAGCGGUAGAGAGAAGCUUGCUUCUCUUGAGAGCGGCGGACGGGUGAGUAAUGCCUAGGAAUCUGCCUGGUAGUGGGGGAUAACGUUCGGAAACGGACGCUAAUACCGCAUACGUCCUACGGGAGAAAGCAGGGGACCUUCGGGCCUUGCGCUAUCAGAUGAGCCUAGCUCGGAUUAGCUAGUUGGUGAGGUAAUGGCUCACCAAGGCGACGAUCCGUAACUGGUCUGAGAGGAUGAUCAGUCACACUGGAACUGAGACACGGUCCAGACUCCUACGGGAGGCAGCAGUGGGGAAUAUUGGACAAUGGGCGAAAGCCUGAUCCAGCCAUGCCGCGUGUGUGAAGAAGGUCUUCGGAUUGUAAAGCACUUUAAGUUGGGAGGAAGGGCAGUUACCUAAUACGUGAUUGUUUUGACGUACCGACAG
rnacentral:rRNA from 1 species